rnacentral:piRNA from 1 species
ACCUGUGGAAGCUGAGGCAGAA